rnacentral:piRNA from 1 species
UUGGAAGUAGCCCUUUACCAUGCAUGGUCAGU